rnacentral:rRNA from 1 species
UACGUAGGGUGCGAGCGUUGUCCGGAAUUAUUGGGCGUAAAGAGCUCGUAGGCGGCUUGUCGCGUCGGAUGUGAAAGCCCGGGGCUUAACUCCGGGUCUGCAUUCGAUACGGGCAGGCUAGAGUUCGGUAGGGGAGAUCGGAAUUCCUGGUGUAGCGGUGAAAUGCGUAGAUAUCUGGAGGAACACCGGUGGCGAAGGCGGCAUCCUGGACCGGCAUUGACGCUGAGGAGCGAAAGCCAGGGGAGCAAACGGG